GGGUUCUCGGGGUCUGCUUAUACUUGGACUAAUAACAAAUUUUCUUCCAAACCUACUUAUGAAAGGCUUGAUAGAGGUUUAGUUAAUCUUGAUUGGUGUGCUGAGUACCCCCUUACUAAAGUUCUUAACAUUCCCAUUAUUCUAAGUGAUCAUGCUCCCAUCCUUAUUACCACUGAAGGUAGGUACAAAAAACCUAAACAAAGUUUAAAGUUUGAUAUUGGUGGCUAA
rnacentral:rRNA from 1 species